UUGGUACCAAUGUUGGGGACAGUGGAUUGUGGGAAGUUGGUUCUAGGGAGUGGUUAGUUUUGAGGAAUUUCAAAGUUUGGGAUCUCAGUGCAUGUUCAAUGCCUCUGCAGGCAGCUAUUGUUAAAGAUCCUGGUGUAUCUUUUAACUGUGUGAUUUGGAGCCUUGACGGUUCUUUGUCUGGAGUUGCAUAGUCCAGGCACAUCGUUGAAAUAUAUUCUUAUCAUGGGAAUGAUAAUAUACAGCAGCACCUGGAGAUUGAUGCUUAUGUUGGCGGAGUAAAUGACAUCGCAUUCUCUGACCCAAACAAACAACUUUGUGUGAUAACUUGUGGUGACGAUAAGACCAUCAAGGUCAGUUGG